rnacentral:rRNA from 1 species
UACAGAGGGUGCGAGCGUUAAUCGGAAUUACUGGGCGUAAAGCGCGCGUAGACGGUUUUGUAAGUCAGAUGUGAAAUCCCUGGGCUCAACCUGGGAACUGCAUUUGUGACUGGCAAGCUAGAGUAUGGCAGAGGGGGGUAGAAUUCCACGUGUAGCAGUGAAAUGCGUAGAGAUGUGGAGGAAUACCGAUGGCGAAGGCAGCCCCCUGGGCCAAUACUGACGCUCAUGCACGAAAGCGUGGGGAGCAAACAGG